CAAUAGCGUAUAUUAAAGCUGUUGCGGUUAAAAAGCUCGUAGUUGGAUUUCUGUCAAGGACAACUGGUCCGCCCUCCGGGUGAGCACAUAGUUUGGUCUUGGCAUCUUGCUGGAAACUGUUGCUGCGCUUGGUUGUGUGGUGCAGCUUUCAGCACUUUCACUUUGAGGAAAUUGGAGUGUUUCAAGCAGGCACAUGCCUUUGGACACAGUAGCAUGGAAUAAUUAGAUUGGGCUUUUGCUCCAACUUGUUGGUUCCUGGAGCUGAGGUGAGAAUCAAUGGGGAUUGUUGGGGGCAUCCGAAUUUAGCCGUCAGAGGUGAAAUUCUUGGAUCUGCUAAAGACGGACAACUGCGAANGNGUUUGCNCAGGAUGUUUNCAUUG
rnacentral:rRNA from 1 species